rnacentral:rRNA from 1 species
UACGGAGGGUGCAAGCGUUAAUCGGAAUUACUGGGCGUAAAGCGUGCGCAGGCGGUUUGUUAAGUCCGCUGUGAAAUCCCCGAGCUCAACUUGGGAAUUGCAGUGGAUACUGGCAGGCUGGAGUACGGUAGAGGAAGGUGGAAUUCCCGGUGUAGCAGUGAAAUGCGUAGAGAUCGGGAGGAACACCAGUGGCGAAGGCAGGUCUCUGGGCAUUAACUGACGCUGAGGAGCGAAAGCAUGGGGAGCGAACAGG